GACGAACGCUGGCGGCGUGCCUGAUACAUGCAAGUCGAGCGGACCACUUCGGUGGUCAGCGGCGGACGGGUGAGUAACACGUGGGCAACCUGCCUGUAAGACUGGGAUAACACCGGGAAACCGGUGCUAAUACCGGAUAUUCCUUUCCUUCACAUGAGGGAAAGCUGAAAGACGGUUUCGGCUGUCACUUACAGAUGGGCCCGCGGCGCAUUAGCUAGUUGGUGAGGUAACGGCUCACCAAGGCAACGAUGCGUAGCCGACCUGCGAGGGUGAUCGGCCACACUGGGACUGAGACACGGCCCAGACUCCUACGGGAGGCAGCAGUAGGGAAUCUUCCGCAAUGGACGAAAGUCUGACGGAGCAACGCCGCGUGAGCGAUGAAGGCCUUCGGGUCGUAAAGCUCUGUUGUCAGGGAAGAACAAGUACCGGAGUAACUGCCGGUACCUUGACGGUACCUGACCAGAAAGCCACGGCUAACUACGUGCCAGCAGCCGCAGUAAAAC
rnacentral:rRNA from 1 species